rnacentral:rRNA from 1 species
GACGAGGGACCCUAGCGUUGUUCGGAAUCAUUGGGCGUAAAGCGGGUGUAGGAGGCUUUAUAAGUCAGAUGUGAAAUCCCUGGGCUCAACCCAGGAAGUGCAUUUGAUACUGUGAAGCUUGAGUGUUGGAGAGGUUACUGGAAGUACCUGGUGUAGUGGUGAAAUACGUAGAUAUCAGGUGGAGCACCGGUGGCGAAGGCGGGUAACUGGCCAAACACUGACUCUCAAACCCGAAAGCGUGGGGAUCAAACAGG